rnacentral:lncRNA from 1 species
GGUCGCUUCUCGCAGGCGGCGCGCUUGCUGGGUCACAGUGAGGCGGCUCCGCGCAGGCGCAGCCGGGCGGGCGAGGAGCGGGGAAGCUGACUCAGGGCUGCGGCCGGGGUCCUGCGGGGUAGGAGCGCGAGGCCGGCCUGAGGGAGGAGGCCUAGCGACCCAUCCGGCGCCUCCCGCCCCGGGCACCCGCCCGCGGCCGCGCAUCCUGCGGGCCCCAGGAGGCCUCCAUCUCAAAACAACGUGUUUUUAGAGAACUCAAGGGCUGUGAAAAGAGCAGGACCUCACCAGCUGCACGGCGGUGGUGACUGGCUCCAUCUUGCUGUCCCUCCCAAUCACACAACAUCUCCCCUUGAAGGCUCUGCCCAGGCCCGGACUCCCACCUUUCAAGAUGUCUGGAUCAGUGCAGGACCUCCUCCUUGGCCACAUCGCUCUCCUUGGACUGUGUUGACUCACCUGUGGAGUGGUCUGAGCCUGAAUGCCCGGGGCUGUGGCCACCGAGUGAACGGGCUGUGCUAAGGGGAAUUGCCACCUUGGGAAACCUGUGUAGUUGCGGCUUUUCUGAUUAAGUAUCAAUAAAAGUCUGACCUUGUGAAAAAAGCAAACGUGAGUGGCCCUGCUUAUGUUUCACCUUGCGUUGCUCAGUGAUAGUUCUGCAAAGUCGCAGGAAACCUGGAAUCAUCUAAUUAUCGUGAGUGUUGGUGAGUAACACCCAUAGUUCCUUAUUUAAUAAUGUCUAGUUGAUUCAUUAACAUGGAAUUCAUGGCCAGUACCUCUGUCACUCAUGCCUGACUGAAGUUGAUCAGCACGUCUUUUUCUCCCUUAGGCACAUGACAGCCUUCUUGCAAUCAAGAAACUACGUGUGGCCAGGAUCUCAUCCACUAUCACAGUUUCAGCUUUCCCCAAACUGGAAUGUGUCUUUGCAGACGCCCAUCCUUAUUAAAGGGCAAAGACUUCUCAUACACCUAGGAUGGAUCUUAUAUUCUUGGCGGGACUGCAGAGAAGGUGCCGUGUCCUGAGUCCUCAUGUCAGGGCACAGGCUUCCAGCCAGUUCUACCUGGGUUAUGUUUAUCUCAAUUCCCUGGUGGUAUUGGUGUCUGCUGGGUUUUGCCAGAAUGAAGACACCGUGUUUUCAUUUGUCAGUUGAUUCGUAUUUUCCAGGAAGACAUUCUGAGAUUACAGCAUUGUCUUAGUCAAGGUGCUGCAGAAGGACAGAACUAAUAGGAUAUAUGUACAUAUGAAAGAAAGUUUAUGAAGAACUGGCUCACACCAUCACAAGGCAAAGUCCCAUGACAGGCCAUCUGCAAGCUGAGGAGCGAGGAAGCCAGCAGUGGCUCAGCCGGAGUCCAACAGCCUCAAACGGAAUCCAACAGUUCAGGCUUCAGUCUGUGGCCAAAUGCCCAGAGACCCCGGAAAGCUACUGGUGUUAGUCCCAGAGCCGGAAGGCCAAAGAACCUGGAGUGUGAUGUCCAAGGGCAGGAGGAAUGGACAGAAGCAUCCAGCAUGGGGUAAAGACGAAAGCCAGAAGACUCAGCAAGCUAGCUUACCUACUUUCUUCUGCCUGCCUUGUUCUAGCCGCGCUGGCAGCCGGUUGGAGGGUGCCCACCCCCACUGAGGGUGGAUCUUCCUCUCCUAGUCCACUGACUCAAAUUUCAGUCUCUCUGGGAGCACCAUCACACCAGAAACAAUACCAGCCAUCUAGCCACCCUUCAGUUCACCAUCACAACCAUUGUCUUAUUCAUGAAACUUCUGCAGACCCACCUUAACCUCCAUCGGUGACUUCUACCUGAAGCCCUCUGAUUGUUGCCCAGUGGUGCUUUUUAAAAUAAUUUCCAUAGUUUCUUCUACACCUUUAGUUGGCAUUCUACUGUAAAGGAGAGAUUUUAUUUUCUUACUCAUUUAUUUGUUAGUUUAUAGUCACCACCAUAUGGAUGCAGAGUUCUGUCUCAUUCACUGGGAAGUAUUCUAUUGCAGUCAUGAUUUAUUUUGAUGUUCACAUCCCAGAGUUGGUGAGUGAGCGCCCCUUCACGCUGGCUCCCGAGUGCUGACGUGUCCCCGUCCUUCUCUGCACUUUUCCUUACCUCCUGGCCUCAGAUAUUCCAGGGUCAUUUGUUCUCUCCCUGCUCCAACCCUGCAGUCAGCCAUCUCCCUAGGGACGUUGGUUCCUUUAUGGAAGGUGGCAUUUAGAAGCCAGGAUUUGGGCUGAGCACUGUGGCUCAUGCUUGUAAUCCCAGCACUUGGGGAGGCCGAAGUGGGCGGAUCGCUGGAGGCCAAGAGUCUGAGACCAGCCUGGCUAACAUGGUGAAACCCUUCCCCGUCUCUACUACAAAUAAAAAAUUAGCUGGGUGUGUUGGCACGUGCCUGUAAUCCCAGUUACUCAGGAGGCUGAAGCACCAGAAUCUCUUGAACCCAGGAGGCCGAGGUUGCAGUGAGCCAAGAUUGCACCACUGCACUACAGCUUGGGUGACAGCGCGAGACACCGUCUCAAAAAGGAUAAUAAUUUAAAAAACAGCAGGAUUUGGGUGAGCAGUGCGCUCAUUGCUUCUGGGCUCUCUCGGUGGACAUAGGCUAGGAAUGUAAGAUGUAUGUGCCUGUGUAUAUACACACGUCUGUAGCUAUGUCUAUGUUGCAUACAUGUGUUUUUCCAAAAACCAAAUCCAUAACCAUGCCUUCAGUUUCAGCCCAACACCUCCGGGCUCUUUCUAGCUUUCUACCUUUCAUGAUUGUGAAUACCUUCUCCAGCAGUGAGAAACCUGGCUCCUUUGUCCUCAGUGGAUUUUCUUAUUUGCUCAAUUUUUUUGUUUUUUGUUUUGUUUUUGUUUUUGAGACAGAGUCUUGUUCUGUCACCCAAGCUGGAGUGCAGUGGCAUAAUCUCGGCUUACCGCAACCUCUGCCUCCUGG